GAUGAACGCUGGCGGCGUGCCUAAUACAUGCAAGUCGAGCGAACAGACGAGGAGCUUGCUCCUCUGACGUUAGCGGCGGACGGGUGAGUAACACGUGGAUAACCUACCUAUAAGACUGGGAUGACUUCGGGAAACCGGAGCUAAUACCGGAUAAUAUAUUGAACUGCAUGGUUCAAUAGUGAAAGACGGUUUUGCUGUCACUUAUAGAUGGAUCCGCGCCGCAUUAGCUAGUUGGUAAGGUAACGGCUUACCAAGGCAACGAUGCGUAGCCGACCUGAGAGGGUGAUCGGCCACACUGGAACUGAGACACGGUCCAGACUCCUACGGGAGGCAGCAGUAGGGAAUCUUCCGCAAUGGGCGAAAGCCUGACGGAGCAACGCCGCGUGAGUGAUGAAGGUCUUCGGAUCGUAAAACUCUGUUAUUAGGGAAGAACAAAUGUGUAAGUAACUAUGCACGUCUUGACGGUACCUAAUCAGAAAGCCACGGCUAACUACGUG
rnacentral:rRNA from 1 species